rnacentral:rRNA from 1 species
CAGUCGCCACGGUAAUACAGAGGGUGCGAGCGUUAAUCGGAUUUACUGGGCGUAAAGCGUGCGUAGGCGGCUUCUUAAGUCGGAUGUGAAAUCCCUGAGCUUAACUUAGGAAUUGCAUUCGAUACUGGGAAGCUAGAGUAUGGGAGAGGAUGGUAGAAUUCCAGGUGUAGCGGUGAAAUGCGUAGAGAUCUGGAGGAAUACCGAUGGCGAAGGCAUCCAUCUGGCCUAAUACUGACGCUGAGGUACGAAAGCAUGGGGAGCAAACAGGAUUAGAUACCCCAGUAGUCCCUGUCUCUUAUAA